AAACGGGCGAAUCAUCUAACUGCCAGCGUGGGGCUCUGUUGAUUGCCUGAUUAAGGUGGCUGUCACUGGGGAUCAAGAAAAACAGAUUCUCGAAGACAGGUAGCUAUGAGAUGUCCGCAGGCUUUAGGUGGAGAAACACAAGCAAAUGGUUUGAUUAUGCUUAUUGAUAAGCACACCUACACCCAUAGAAUGUACAAACAGCACCUGCAUCUCUGUUUACACCUCACUCUCUUGUACUGUACACAGAGUGUCCCUCUAUCAGUUCUAUCUGUCUGCAAAGGAAAAGAAUGCAGCCAUCAUUCUUAAACACACAUUCCUCUUCACCUCCUUAAACAUCAGCUUUUGAUAAAUAUAGGCAGGUUACCAGAGCUCUUAUUUAAAAAUCAGUGAAACAGCAUGUUUUCAAACGUGAAAGAGGACCGAUUACAGACAGCUGUGGCACUCUCUCCACCCCAUGGUUAGGACAGCAGUUAGUGAGGGACUUCCUGCAUGGAAAGCUGUGUAUGUUUUCCUUCAGUGAAUUGAACAUCCUGCAGAUCUUAAAUUCCAGUCAGCAGUAAACUCCCUGACCUCUGAGCACAAAAUUAGCCACAUCAUAUUAGCAAAAGACAUGAGGGAAAGGAAGGACUGCAAAACAGAACAGAAAGAUAGAGUUAAAAGAAUGAUGACAGAGAGAGAAUGAGGAAUAAUGCAAACUUACACAUUUUUUUUUGUUUUUCUUAAUUAUUCAUUGUAUGAAAAGGAAACUAGUAUAGAUCAUUAAUUAUAAUUUGGUUAUAUAAGCUAUGUAACCAAAACAUCCCCAACAGCAUUAUUUUUUAAGGGAUACUCCACCCAAAAUGGAAAUUUUGUCAUUAAUCACUUACCCCCAUGUCGUUCCAAACCCGUAAAAGCUUAAUUCGUCUUUGGAACACAAUUUAAGAUAUUUUAGAUGAAAACCGUCAGGCUUGUGACUCACUCAUAGGCUGCCAAGUAAAUUCCACUGUCAAGGUCCAGAAAAGUAUGAAAAGCAUUGUCAGAAUAGUCCAUCUGCCAUCAAUGGUUCAGCCGUAAGUUUAUGAAGGAAUGAGAAUACUUUUUGAAUUCGAAGAAAAAAAAAAGACUUUAUUCAACAAAUAAUCUCCUCUGUGUCUCUCCGCAUCACCGCAAUGUGGGACAGUGAACAAAACAACCCUUAUAAAUCAAUCUAGUCAUCAUAUUGUAAUGCUCCUAAACAUCCAGACUCUUUUUACAUACAGUAUAUGUGAGAUCCAUUUGUUUAUUACGACACAUGAAUGCAAUAAAACGCUUGAUCUUUUUCUUUAUUAUACCAUUCUAUGUCCAAUAACACAGUGUUGUAAACAGCCAUGAAAGUGUCAGAUUUCAUCUGGUAUUACAUGGACAGGGUUAUCACUUACAACAUAUGCGGUGAACCCUAUCUGCCAAUGUGUUUAUUGAGCUAUUAUCAAUUGACUGAUGAAAUAAACUACUCACCAGUCAACAUAUGUUCCUGAUUUGCUGGAUUUAUUUGAUUUUAAACCAUGUGUUUUCUGUUUUAAAAGUUUGCGACAGAACAUUCUUUGCGGAUCACAAACAGAGUUUUGGUGAAACAAUAUGAUUUUACAAUUGUAUGUUUUCAGCUCCAAGAGCAGUUGUAAAUUUUCCUUUCUAAUAAUAACAAUAACAAUAACAUGGAAUCACAAAAUAUAUUAAUUGGUUAUAUAUUUAAUGUUUUUGACCCUAUUCCGCUUGUACUGAAAUAUCCCCAUAUUGCGAGUCAUCUAUCAAAAAAAGCGUAAAGGUAAGUGGCAUCCCCCCAUUACUUGGAAGGGCUGGUUCUGCCUUAUAUUCACAACUCUGUGAGGUUUUCCUACGUAGCAGCACCACCACAGGUGCACAGCAAUUGAUAAAUCCAGAUAUGCCAUACUAUAAUGCAAUGUAUUAUGUAUUCCUCUGUGUAUUUUUUUAAUGUAUGGAAUGUAACAUGUUUAUGAUCUGACCAGUGUUGAAUUUUGACUUAUCUGAAUGCCUCUAAAUAAAUUAUUUUGGAGUAUGUGCAUAUCAA